rnacentral:misc_RNA from 1 species
GUGGAAAGUGCCGAUAGCAAAUACCGGAGGGCCGGGCAUGGGCACAGAGUCCGAAGAUCAAGGGAAAGACCCAAGCAGUAACGCGGAAGAUGCCAGCUGGUGGUCACCGAUGCCAAGAAGGAAGAGAAGCCGUCCCAGAUGGAUGUGGAAGAUCUGUCAGAAGACGAGAUGCAGACCAGCUGGGUGUGCUGCAUCCCGUACUCCACCAGGAAGAGGGCAAAGGAGAGCACCUAGCGCCCCGGAGAGGGUGCUCAGAGCUUGGCGAAGAAGAGGAAGGAGACGGGGUGCAGAGGGGCUGGGGGCACAGGAGGCGGGACGGAGGGCGAUCCGGCCACCUACUUGCCGCCCAAGAGCCUUCUCUGCCAGGCACUGAGGUUUCUGUUUUCUUCUUGUGGGACUGGCCAGGCCUGGAAGGAGCGAGAGCACAGACUGCGCCUUUGGGCUAAAGAUCCCGCCAG